GAAGGUAUAGCUCAAGUGGUAGAGCACAUGCUUAGCAUGCAUGAGGUCCUGGGUUCAAUCCCCGCUAACUCCU
rnacentral:tRNA from 1 species